ensembl:lncRNA
GCCAAACAGUCUGAGGUAAUAAUCAAACAGAUUUUCCUUAAAUGUCUUCUAAAAUGCAAUAACUGGCUAUAACAAUAGUUGGUUUUAGUGGAAACAGACAAGAAACAUCAAUACAAAAAGGUUUAUGCUUUUUGGUGUUAGCAUCUAUUGAGGAAAAUAACAAAAUGCUACUGUAUAUCACAGUUUCUGUCACAACAUCUUGCGCUAACGACAUUAGCUAGACAAUCUCAGGUAAUAAAUCAAACACAGCCUUCUAAAAUGUCUCCUAAGAAUGCAAUAAGUUGCUAAAGCAAGUUUUUUUUUUUUGCAGAAGCAGUCAUGAAACAAUGAUGACAACAAACUUUUGUCAUUGAUGCUGUUGGUGUAAGCUACUAUUGACCCAAGUACUAUUACUAAAUGGAGAUGUGUAUUUGUCUGUCAGUUUUUAGUAAGCUGCCAUAAACUGAGGCAAAGCAUAGCAUAGCAUAGUGUAGCUAACUUCUUUUAAAAACUAAGUUGGCUGUAUUAACUUUAAACAACAAGUAACUUAUAGUUUUAUAAGUUACAGUUUCUCCAACACUGGACAAAGCUAAGCAUUUACUCCAUGGUCUGUUCCUAAGAAGGAAAUUGAAUCAUUUGGACCACACUGACUUUUCUGAAAUACUCCAUUUUUCUGCCUCCCUGGUCAUCCAUCCACGUUAAUGAAGAAGCGGGGCAGAAGAGCACACUGGGAUAGCUUUUGGAAGACCAGCCCCACUUGUACAGCUCUAGACUGAGGUGGUAAUUACCAAGGACUUUGCCAAACUCUGUUCUUCAUCUCCAUCUCCUCCAUUCCAUUUUUUAGCUGAGCAUCAAUUUAUCUUAGACACUUAGAAUGUCAAUUGAAUGACAAAAACAUGUUCUUUAAAAUUUCUUAUCUCAUAUCUCUCUUACAGUACAUCUUUCACUUUUUUGCCAGUUUGUUCAGAAUCUACCAAUCCCACCGGUGCCCAUUACUGAGUGAGGAUGACAACAACGGUCUUUUCUUUCUGGGUGCAAAAAAUCAUCUACAAUCACACUUUACAACAGAGCAGUGUGACCAGACAGCUGAUGAGAACAAAAUCAGUGUUGUCAAAACGAGGACCACCCACCGACUGAACAAACCAGCCUGAAAAUAGUCCCCUUAACCCCCUGCCAUAGAAAAAAAAAAAAAACAUGCCGCUCCACAUCUGCAUUAUUGCAGCCAG